rnacentral:rRNA from 1 species
GGAUCAUUAUAGAGUUAUCAUAACUCCAAACCCAUGUGAACAUACCUAUUGUUGCCUCGGCAGGUCGCAGACUGCUGGGAAAGGGCCCUCCCUAGCUUGGGAGGCUCUACCCGGGAGCCGCGGGUAAGCCUGCCGAUGGCCCGCAAAACUCUGUUUAGCAUUGAAAUUCUGAAUCAUAACUAAAUAAGUUAAAACUUUCAACAACGGAUCUCUUGGUUCUGGCAUCGAUGAAGAACGCAGCGAAAUGCGAUAAGUAAUGUGAAUUGCAGAAUUCAGUGAAUCAUCGAAUCUUUGAACGCACAUUGCGCCCAUUAGUAUUCUAGUGGGCAUGCCUGUUCGAGCGUCAUUUCAACCCUUAAGCCCUUGUUGCUUAGUGUUGGGAGACUACGUUCUCAGCGUAGCUCCUCAAAGUUAGUGGCAGAGUCAGUUCAAACUCUAGGUGUAGUAAAUUUCUUCUCGCCUCUGUGGUUGGGCUGCCCCUCGCCGUAAAACACCCCUAAUUUUUAAAGGUUGACCUCGGAUCAGGUAGGAAUACCCGCUGAACUUAAGCAUAUCAAUAAGCGGAGGAAAAGAAACCAACAGGGAUUGCCCUAGUAACGGCGAGUGAAGCGGCAACAGCUCAAAUUUGAAAUCUGGCCUUCGGGUCCGAGUUGUAAUUUGUAGAGGAUGCUUUUGGCGCGGUGCCUUCCGAGUUCCCUGGAACGGGACGCCUUAGAGGGUGAGAGCCCCGUACGGUUGGACACCAAGCCUCUGUAAAGCUCCUUCGACGAGUCGAGUAGUUUGGGAAUGCUGCUCUAAAUGGGAGGUAAAUUUCUUCUAAAGCUAAAUAUUGGCCAGAGACCGAUAGCGCACAAGUAGAGUGAUCGAAAGAUGAAAAGCACUUUGAAAAGAGGGUUAAAUAGCACGUGAAAUUGUUGAAAGGGAAGCGUUUGCGACCAGACCUUUUCCUGGCGGAUCAUCCGGUGUUCUCACCGGUGCACUUCGCUAGGUUGAGGCCAGCAUCGGUUUCUGUAGGGGGAUAAAAGCUUGGGGAAUGUAGCUCCUUCGGGAGUGUUAUAGCCCCUUGCAUAAUACCCUUACGGGGACCGAGGACCGC